rnacentral:rRNA from 1 species
GCCCUUAAUCUAGCCCUAAUCUCUCUGUUACUGACAUUACCCCUCCACUCCCAAUUAAAACAUUCUAUAUCCCAAGUAAAUGCGAUUGAAAAAGAACUAGGAGCUUUAUCAAACAGUACCGCAAGGGAAAGAUGAAAUAGAAGUUAAAUAAAUACUCAAGCACUAAGUAGCAGAGAUUACAACUCGUACCUUUUGCAUUAUGGUCUAACUAGUUUAACCAGGCAAAAGGAUUUUUAGUCUGGCCCCCCGAAACUAAGUGAGCUACUCCGAGGCAACCUCAGAGUAAACCCGUCUCUGUAGCAAAAGAGUGGGACGACCUCCGAGUAGAGGUGAUAUACCUAUCGAACUUAGUGAUAGCUGGUUACUCAAGAAACGAAUUUUAGUUCUAUCUUAAGAGUACUUAAACUUGUCUCACAAAUGUAAGUAAACCCAAUCUCCUAAGACCUAUUCAAUUAGGGUACAGCCUUAUUGAAAAAGGACACAACCUAAAACCCAGGUUAACGUUUUUAUGACCAAGAUCAAGUUGGCCUAAAAGCAGCCACCUUUAAAAUAGCGUCAAAGCUUUAUCUACUGUCUUCCCCAAUUUCUAUCUCUUUACGGAACCCGAUAUCAAUAUUGAGUCUUUCUAUACCCCUAUAGAAGUGUUUAUGUUAGAACUAGUAACACAGAACUCCUUCUCUCUAUGUAAGUGUAAAUCAGAUCGAAUAAAUCACUGAUCAUUACGCAGUAAUGAAAUUAUUGUAACAACCUUACUAGAAAACCCUACAAUUUUACCCUGUUAACCUAACACAAGAACAUUAGAGAAAGAUUAAAAGACAAGGAAGGAAUUCGGCAAAUUAAGUCUCGCCUGUUUACCAAAAACAUCGCCUUUUGCACACUAUAUUAGGUAAUGCCUGCCCAGUGACCAUAUGUUCAACGGCCGCGGUAUUCUGACCGCGCGAAGGUAGCGUAAUCACUUGUCUUCUAAAUAAAGACUAGUAUGAACGGCCACACGAAGACUUAACUGUCUCCCCUGUCCAAUCAGUGAAACUGAUCUCCUCGUGCAGAAGCGAGGAUAAACACAUAAGACGAGAAGACCCUAUGGAGCUUUAAACUUAAUAUCAACUUCCCUCUUUUACCCCUCUAAGGAGCUGACAAGAUUACUAGACUCGAUAUAAGUUUUAGGUUGGGGCGACCAUGGAGAAAAAAACAACCUCCCUGAUGAUUUUUAAACCAAGAGCCACAGCUCUAAGUAUUAGGACUCUUAACUCCCAUUGACCCAUUUUUUGAUCAACGAACCAAGUUACCCUAGGGAUAACAGCGCAAUCCAUUUCAAGAGUCCCUAUCGACAAAUGGGUUUACAACCUCGAUGUUGGAUCAGGGCAUCCUAGUGGUGCAACCGCUACUAAUGGUUCGUUUGUUCAACGAUUAAAGCCCUACGUGAUCUGAGUUC